rnacentral:rRNA from 1 species
CCUACGGGAGGCAGCAGUGGGGAAUAUUGCACAAUGGGGGAAACCCUGAUGCAGCGACGCCGCGUGAGUGAAGAAGUAUUUCGGCAUGUAAAGCACUAUCAGCAGGGAAGAAGAAAGACGGUACCGGACUAAGAAGCCCCGGCUAACUACGUGCCAGAAGCCGCGGUAAAACGUAGGGGGCAAGCGUUAACCGGAUUUACUGGGGGUAAAGGGAGCGUAGACGGUAGUGCAAGUCUGAAGUGAAAGCCCAGGGCUCAACCCUGGGACUGCUUUGGCAACUGUGGAGCUAGAGUGCUGGAGAGGUAAGUGGAAUGCCUGGUGUAGCGGUGAAAUGCGUAGAUAUUAGGAGGAACACCAGUGGCGAAGGCGGCUUACUGGACAGUAACUGACGUUGAGGCUCGAAAGCGUGGGGAGCAAACAGGAUUAGAUACCCUUGUAGUC